AGAGGAAUAGCUGGGUUAAAUGGUGAUUCCAUUCCCAGCUUUUCAAGGAAUCUCCAUACUGCUUUCCAAAUUGGCUGCACCAAUUUGCAGUCCAACCAGCAAU
rnacentral:pre_miRNA from 1 species